rnacentral:rRNA from 1 species
GACAGAGGGUGCAAACGUUGCUCGGAAUCACUGGGCGUAAAGGGCGUGUAGGCGGGAAGGAAAGUCAGAUGUGAAAUCCCCAGGCUCAACCUGGGAACUGCAUUUGAAACUCCCUUUCUUGAGUACCGGAGAGGAAAGUGGAAUUCCUGGUGUAGAGGUGAAAUUCGUAGAUAUCAGGAGGAACACCAGUGGCGAAGGCGGCUUUCUGGACGGUAACUGACGCUGAGACGCGAAAGCGUGGAGAGCAAACAGG